rfam:Cavia porcellus supercont2_0 genomic scaffold, whole genome shotgun sequence.
GGGGAUUUAGCUCAGCAGCAUAAGUGCCUGCCUUGCAAGCAGGCAGUUGUGAGUUCAAUCCCCA